rnacentral:rRNA from 2 species
UAAGCGACUAAGCGUACACGGUGGAUGCCCUGGCAGUCAGAGGCGAUGAAGGACGUGCUAAUCUGCGAUAAGCGUCGGUAAGGUGAUAUGAACCGUUAUAACCGGCGAUUUCCGAAUGGGGAAACCCAGUGUGAUUCGUCACACUAUCAUUAACUGAAUCCAUAGGUUAAUGAGGCGAACCGGGGGAACUGAAACAUCUAAGUACCCCGAGGAAAAGAAAUCAACCGAGAUUCCCCCAGUAGCGGCGAGCGAACGGGGAGCAGCCCAGAGCCUGAAUCAGUGUGUGUGUUAGUGGAAGCGUCUGGAAAGGCGCGCGAUACAGGGUGACAGCCCCGUACACAAAAAUGCACAUGCUGUGAGCUCGAUGAGUAGGGCGGGACACGUGGUAUCCUGUCUGAAUAUGGGGGGACCAUCCUCCAAGGCUAAAUACUCCUGACUGACCGAUAGUGAACCAGUACCGUGAGGGAAAGGCGAAAAGAACCCCGGCGAGGGGAGUGAAAAAGAACCUGAAACCGUGUACGUACAAGCAGUGGGAGCACGCUUAGGCGUGUGACUGCGUACCUUUUGUAUAAUGGGUCAGCGACUUAUAUUCUGUAGCAAGGUUAACCGAAUAGGGGAGCCGAAGGGAAACCGAGUCUUAACUGGGCGUUAAGUUGCAGGGUAUAGACCCGAAACCCGGUGAUCUAGCCAUGGGCAGGUUGAAGGUUGGGUAACACUAACUGGAGGACCGAACCGACUAAUGUUGAAAAAUUAGCGGAUGACUUGUGGCUGGGGGUGAAAGGCCAAUCAAACCGGGAGAUAGCUGGUUCUCCCCGAAAGCUAUUUAGGUAGCGCCUCGUGAACUCAUCUCCGGGGGUAGAGCACUGUUUCGGCAAGGGGGUCAUCCCGACUUACCAACCCGAUGCAAACUGCGAAUACCGGAGAAUGUUAUCACGGGAGACACACGGCGGGUGCUAACGUCCGUCGUGAAGAGGGAAACAACCCAGACCGCCAGCUAAGGUCCCAAAGUCAUGGUUAAGUGGGAAACGAUGUGGGAAGGCCCAGACAGCCAGGAUGUUGGCUUAGAAGCAGCCAUCAUUUAAAGAAAGCGUAAUAGCUCACUGGUCGAGUCGGCCUGCGCGGAAGAUGUAACGGGGCUAAACCAUGCACCGAAGCUGCGGCAGCGACGCUGAUGCGUUGUUGGGUAGGGGAGCGUUCUGUAAGCCUGUGAAGGUGUGCUGUGAGGCAUGCUGGAGGUAUCAGAAGUGCGAAUGCUGACAUAAGUAACGAUAAAGCGGGUGAAAAGCCCGCUCGCCGGAAGACCAAGGGUUCCUGUCCAACGUUAAUCGGGGCAGGGUGAGUCGACCCCUAAGGCGAGGCCGAAAGGCGUAGUCGAUGGGAAACAGGUUAAUAUUCCUGUACUUGGUGUUACUGCGAAGGGGGGACGGAGAAGGCUAUGUUGGCCGGGCGACGGUUGUCCCGGUUUAAGCGUGUAGGCUGGUUUUCCAGGCAAAUCCGGAAAAUCAAGGCUGAGGCGUGAUGACGAGGCACUACGGUGCUGAAGCAACAAAUGCCCUGCUUCCAGGAAAAGCCUCUAAGCAUCAGGUAACAUCAAAUCGUACCCCAAACCGACACAGGUGGUCAGGUAGAGAAUACCAAGGCGCUUGAGAGAACUCGGGUGAAGGAACUAGGCAAAAUGGUGCCGUAACUUCGGGAGAAGGCACGCUGAUAUGUAGGUGAAGUCCCUCGCGGAUGGAGCUGAAAUCAGUCGAAGAUACCAGCUGGCUGCAACUGUUUAUUAAAAACACAGCACUGUGCAAACACGAAAGUGGACGUAUACGGUGUGACGCCUGCCCGGUGCCGGAAGGUUAAUUGAUGGGGUCAGCGCAAGCGAAGCUCUUGAUCGAAGCCCCGGUAAACGGCGGCCGUAACUAUAACGGUCCUAAGGUAGCGAAAUUCCUUGUCGGGUAAGUUCCGACCUGCACGAAUGGCGUAAUGAUGGCCAGGCUGUCUCCACCCGAGACUCAGUGAAAUUGAACUCGCUGUGAAGAUGCAGUGUACCCGCGGCAAGACGGAAAGACCCCGUGAACCUUUACUAUAGCUUGACACUGAACAUUGAGCCUUGAUGUGUAGGAUAGGUGGGAGGCUUAGAAGUGUGGACGCCAGUCUGCAUGGAGCCGACCUUGAAAUACCACCCUUUAAUGUUUGAUGUUCUAACGUUGACCCGUAAUCCGGGUUGCGGACAGUGUCUGGUGGGUAGUUUGACUGGGGCGGUCUCCUCCUAAAGAGUAACGGAGGAGCACGAAGGUUGGCUAAUCCUGGUCGGACAUCAGGAGGUUAGUGCAAUGGCAUAAGCCAGCUUGACUGCGAGCGUGACGGCGCGAGCAGGUGCGAAAGCAGGUCAUAGUGAUCCGGUGGUUCUGAAUGGAAGGGCCAUCGCUCAACGGAUAAAAGGUACUCCGGGGAUAACAGGCUGAUACCGCCCAAGAGUUCAUAUCGACGGCGGUGUUUGGCACCUCGAUGUCGGCUCAUCACAUCCUGGGGCUGAAGUAGGUCCCAAGGGUAUGGCUGUUCGCCAUUUAAAGUGGUACGCGAGCUGGGUUUAGAACGUCGUGAGACAGUUCGGUCCCUAUCUGCCGUGGGCGCUGGAGAACUGAGGGGGGCUGCUCCUAGUACGAGAGGACCGGAGUGGACGCAUCACUGGUGUUCGGGUUGUCAUGCCAAUGGCACUGCCCGGUAGCUAAAUGCGGAAGAGAUAAGUGCUGAAAGCAUCUAAGCACGAAACUUGCCCCGAGAUGAGUUCUCCCUGACUCCUUGAGAGUCCUGAAGGAACGUUGAAGACGACGACGUUGAUAGGCCGGGUGUGUAAGCGCAGCGAUGCGUUGAGCUAACCGGUACUAAUGAACCGUGAGGCUUAACCU